rnacentral:rRNA from 1 species
AACGAACGCUGGUGGCGUGGAUAUGACAUGCAAGUCGAACGAGAGAAUUGCUAGCUUGCUAAUAAUUCUCUAGUGGCGCACGGGUGAGUAACACGUGAGUAACCUGCCCCCGAGAGCGGGAUAGCCCUGGGAAACUGGGAUUAAUACCGCAUAGAAUCGCAAGAUUAAAGCAGCAAUGCGCUUGGGGAUGGGCUCGCGGCCUAUUAGUUAGUUGGUGAGGUAACGGCUCACCAAGGCGAUGACGGGUAGCCGGUCUGAGAGGAUGUCCGGUCACACUGGAACUGAGACACGGUCCAGACACCUACGGGUGGCAGCAGUCGAGAAUCAUUCACAAUGGGGGAAACCCUGAUGGUGCGACGCCGCGUGGGGGAAUGAAGGUCUUCGGAUUGUACACCCCUGUCAUGUGGGAGCAAAUUAAAAAGAUAGUACCACAAGAGGAAGAGACGGCUAACUCUGUGCCAGCAGCCGCGGUAAUACAGAGGUCUCAAGCGUUGUUCGGAAUCACUGGGCGUAAAGCGUGCGUAGGCUGUUUCGUAA